rnacentral:rRNA from 1 species
GAACUCCGCUUGCGGGGGGAUCAGUGGCGAACGGGUGAGUAACACGUGGGCAACCUGCCCUCAGCUCUGGGAUAACUCCAAGAAAUUGGGGCUAAUACCGGAUAUGACUGCUGACCGCAUGGUCUGGUGGUGGAAAGAUUUAUCGGCUGGGGAUGGGCCCGCGGCCUAUCAGCUUGUUGGUGGGGUAGUGGCCUACCAAGGCGACGACGGGUAGCCGGCCUGAGAGGGUGACCGGCCACACUGGGACUGAGACACGGCCCAGACUCCUACGGGAGGCAGCAGUGGGGAAUAUUGCGCAAUGGGCGAAAGCCUGACGCAGCGACGCCGCGUGGGGGAUGACGGCCUUCGGGUUGUAAACCUCUUUCAGCAGGGACGAAGCGCAAGUGACGGUACCUGCAGAAGAAGCACCGGCCAACUACGUGCCAGCAGCCGCGGUAAUACGUAGGGUGCAAGCGUUGUCCGGAAUUAUUGGGCGUAAAGAGCUCGUAGGCGGUUCGUCGCGUCGGCUGUGAAAACCUGAGGCUCAACCUCAGGCCUGCAGUCGAUACGGGCGGACUUGAGUACUGCAGGGGAGACUGGAAUUCCUGGUGUAGCGGUGAAAUGCGCAGAUAUCAGGAGGAACACCGGUGGCGAAGGCGGGUCUCUGGGCAGUAACUGACG